rnacentral:misc_RNA from 1 species
CACGAUUCCCUUUUGCGUCUUCAGCUUCUCGACCAGUGUCGUGACGUCCUUCGCAGGCGCUACGAUGUCCUUGUCGCCAUGAACGAUCAGGCCGGACGAGGGGCAGGGCGCGAGGAACGAGAAGUCGUAACGGUUGGGCUCCGGCGCGAUCGAGAUAAAGCCUUCGACCUCCGGACGGCGCAUCAGAAGCUGCAUGCCGAUCCACGCGCCGAACGAGAAACCGGCCACCCAGCAGGCGCGCGCUUCGGGAUUGAUGGUCUGAGCCCAAUCGAGGGCGGACGCGGCAUCCGACAGCUCGCCGGUGCCGUGAUCGAAUUGUCCCUGGCUGCGGCCGACGCCGCGGAAGUUGAAGCG